GUGUUUUCAAAGACUAAGCUUAUGUUUGCAUUGAUCUCUAUUAUAUUUUCAUUUCUACCUCACCUAUUUCUGCUCAUCUCUGCUACGUGGCUCCUUGUGCUUGCUUUGGCUUCUUACUUUCCAUACCUCUGCCAUGAAAUUUUAAAUCACAGACUUUCAGAGCUGGAAGGAAACAGACCCGCUCUCCCGCCUCGUUUUACAAAGAAGCCCAGAGGGGAAGGGCAUGUGCCUGAAAUCCUGCAGCUGGUAAGAGAGCAUCCACAUUCUCGAUUCCGGCUUCUCCCCUUGCUCACCACCCUCCUCCACUCGUCACUCUCUCUCCUGCCCUGUUCCUCCUUCCCCUGACCCACAAGACAGCAAGAUUGUCAGGCUGACACAAUUCAGAAGAAAUAGGCAAACAUCUCCCUCAAAAGACACAUAAGAACUUAGGAGGAGGGGGGCAAGAAUCCGACUGCAGCUGCUCAGGUGGCUGCAGAAGCCCAGGUUCAAUGCUGGCCCCGCGCAGUGGGUUAAGGAUCUGGUGUUGCUGCAGCUGGGGCUUGGAUACAAUCACUGGUCCAGGAACUUCUAUAUGCCGUGGGGAGCAGAGGGAGAUGUCACAGGUAAUCAAAUACAGGACAAUUUUAUAAAACAAAACUCAGGCUGCCUUCUAGAAGGUUGUGGUUGGAUCUAUUAAAAAUUCUGAUAUUCACAGCAGUUAUUUGGCAAGAAGCAAAAAUAGAUGGUAUCGUAAUGAACUGGGUAUCGGUGUCAGAAUGCAAAGGUCGCCUUACAUUUUAGGUUAAACAGAUGAGCACGCCCAGCCGUAAAAUGUACUGAAUUGUGUGUAAAAAGCACUGGCCCUGAGAGGGUGAAAGAGGAGCUGAGGUCUGACUUCUGGGCUCCCGUCCUGCCCUGUCUGGCCACCCCUGGGAUGUCAGGACUCUAGUGGCCUUGAGAUCCAGGGCUCUUCCUUUUCUAAAGACUGUGGCUAAGGAAGACUCUGAUGUUGGUCACAUCUAGUAAGCACACAUUGCUCAGGUGCCCUCUCCAGGGCAUUUCUACUCAAAGUUUUCCUUCAGCGGGAGCUCAAAGGCUUUCUUUCGUGUCUUAAGAAAUUUGAAGCAGAGUUGAUAAGGUCGGUAGGUAUGGGCAGGGGCUCCCCGGGUGCCCGGAAAUCAUUCCAUCCGCACUAAGACCUGAACAUUUCGGCACAAACUUACCAUGUCCUUCAAAAAAAAGUCUAGUCCCUAAGAGUGUGUGCACAUGUGCGCACGCGCGCACACACACACACACACACUGGUCCAGUGUCUGAGAUACUGAUGCAGUGUGAUGCGCUGAGAGAGGUCAAGAGAACAGUAUUUCCAAGAUGUAUCCAACCACAAGACAUUUUCUUCAAGUAGCAUCCACAGGUCUGGGUUAAAUAACGCCACCCCCCGAAGAAAAGAAAGACGCCUUUACCUGGAACCUCAGAAUGUGACUUAGCUUGGAAUGAAGGAAAUUAAGAAUCUUGAGAUGAGACGAUCCCGGAUCGCUUAGGGUGGCCCUAAAUC
rnacentral:lncRNA from 1 species